rnacentral:rRNA from 1 species
UAAGUAAUCUACCUUUGAGUGGGGAAUAACAGUCGGAAACGACUGCUAAUACCGCAUAAUGCAGCGGCACCGCAAGGUGACAGUUGUUAAAGCAUUUAUGCGCUUAAAGAGGAGCUUGCGGCAGAUUAGCUAGUUGGUAAGGUAAUGGCUUACCAAGGCAACGAUCUGUAUCCGGUCUAAGAGGACGGUCGGACACACUGACACUGAAUAACGGGUCAG